UUUGUUAUUGUAACGAAAAUUAAUUAAAUAGUAUGAAGAUUUAUAUAAGAUUAGAUUCGCGAAUGUGCUUGAGAAACUCCGCUAAGAACUGUCACUCUUGAUUAGGAGACAUUAGUCGCAUACGGACCGCAUACAAUGUCCGUGGGUUUGAGCACAAGAGUGAAUGUGACGAAAUAACAGAGCAGAAUUCCUGAAAGAAGCACGUAAGACAGUUCUCGUCCGGACGCACGUACGACGGGUGUGUCGUUGUGUCUCAAAAAAACUCCGCAAACAAAUGACGUAACCUGCAACACGCGAAUCACAAAUGCUAAAUCGGAUUAAAAUAACUUGUACAACGCGCCACCCACGCAGGUAUAAUACGA